AGCAGCCGCGGUAAUUCCAGCUCCAAUAGCGUAUAUUAAAGUUGCUGCAGUUAAAAAGCUCGUAGUUGAAUUUCGGGAUCAAUAUGUUGGUCGUGCCUCGGUACGUACUAGCUUAUUGGUUUCUCCCUUCUGACGAACCAUGAUGUCAUUUAUUUGGUGUUAUGGGAAAUCAGGACUGUUACUUUGAAAAAAUUAGAGUGUUUAAAGCAGGCUCACGCUUGAAUACAUUAGCAUGGAAUAAUGAAAUAGGACGUUUGAUUCUAUUUUGUUGGUUUUCUAGGAUCGACGUAAUGAUUAAUAGGGAUAGUUGGGGGCAUUAGUAUUCAAUUGUCAGAGGUGAAAUUCUUGGAUUUAUUGAAGACUAACUACUGCGAAAGCAUUUGCCAAGGAUGUUUUCAUUAAUCAAGAACGAAAGUUAGGGGAUCGAAGACGAUCAGAUACCGUCGUAGUCUUAACCAUAAACUAAUGCCGACUAGGGGAUCAGACGAUGUUAAUUUUUUUAAUUGACUCG
rnacentral:rRNA from 1 species